AUGCAUAUCUGGCAGGGGAGAUGUCAUGAUCAAGAAGGUAGCUUUCCCAGUGUGGCCUAGCCAUCUCACUCUGAAUGUGUUGACCCCUGAAAUUCCCCCAAUUUCAGGAAAUUCGAAAUUCAAGUGUAUAAUUUGUGUUAGUGGGAGACUGCAUAUUCACUGUCUCAAA